rnacentral:rRNA from 1 species
GACGAACGCUGGCGGCGUGCCUAACACAUGCAAGUCGAACGGAACUUGUUGGAUCAAGACUUCGGUCAAGUGAAUUCAAGUUUAGUGGCGAACGGGUGAGUAACGCGUGAGCAACCUGCCUUUCAGAGGGGGACAACAGUUGGAAACGACUGCUAAUACCGCAUAACACAUUCGGGGGGCAUCCCCUGAAUGUCAAAGAUUUAUCGCUGAAAGAUGGGCUCGCGUCUGAUUAGAUAGUUGGUGGGGUAACGGCCUACCAAGUCGACGAUCAGUAGCCGGACUGAGAGGUUGAACGGCCACAUUGGGACUGAGAUACGGCCCAGACUCCUACGGGAGGCAGCAGUGGGGAAUAUUGGGCAAAUGGGGGGCAACCCUGACCCAGCAACGCCGCGUGAAGGAAGAAGGCUUCGGGUUGUAAACUUCUUUACCUAGGGACGAAGACGUGACGGUACCUGGAGAAAAAGCCAACGGCUAACUAACGUG